AGAGUUUGAUCAUGGCUCAGAUUGAACGCUGGCGGCAGGCCUAACACAUGCAAGUCGAGCGGUAACAGAAAGUAGCUUGCUACUUUGCUGACGAGCGGCGGACGGGUGAGUAAUGCUUGGGAACAUGCCUUGAGGUGGGGGACAACAGUUGGAAACGACUGCUAAUACCGCAUAAUGUCUACGGACCAAAGGGGGCUUCGGCUCUCGCCUUUAGAUUGGCCCAAGUGGGAUUAGCUAGUUGGUGAGGUAAUGGCUCACCAAGGCAACGAUCCCUAGCUGGUUUGAGAGGAUGAUCAGCCACACUGGAACUGAGACACGGUCCAGACUCCUACGGGAGGCAGCAGUGGGGAAUAUUGCACAAUGGGCGAAAGCCUGAUGCAGCCAUGCCGCGUGUGUGAAGAAGGCCUUCGGGUUGUAAAGCACUUUCAGUCAGGAGGAAAGGGUGUGAGUUAAUACCUCAUAUCUGUGACGUUACUGACAGAAGAAGCACCGGCUAACUCCGUGCCAGCAGCCGCGGUAAU
rnacentral:rRNA from 1 species